UUUUCUUUUUCGACCAAUGAUAUUUCAGUAAAAAAUAUUCAGUCGGUCAAUAUGAUUCAUUCAACAUUAUAACCUCCUGACACAUUCGGCUAUCGAAAUGACUCAUUUCUUUAUCAUUGCCACAAAUCUUAAAAUAUACUACAACAAAACCAACAGAUCUUCACAUACUCUAAUACAAUGCAGACCUGCAAAGCAUAAUGCCUUUCCUGCAGUUUUGCUGCAGACUACUUGUACUGAAAACAUUCAGAACAAACCAUAGUCAAUUUACUUACUUCUAUCUCCCGGAAUUCUGUCUCAUUCUUGGUUUGUACAUCUUUAAGAUCUCUGACUUUUAGUUCCAGGGAUGACAGUGAUACUUUCAGUUUGUCCUUAUACACACUGAC